UGGGAGGGGUGAAUUUGGGGGUGAAUGGAUCAAUCAUGAGAUCAAGCAAGAAUGAGAUACAAGUGGACCUUUAGCAUCUUACAUGCCACAACCACUGUUUAUUGAUGUUUUAUAAAUAGCUAUGUUACAGAUUUACAUAUAUAUAUAUACACACAUAUAUAUGUACACAUACAUAUUAUGAAUUUCUUAUGAAUACCUCUUUUCCAUGUGACCUUGAUCUUGACCACAGUAGUGUAUCUUUUGGAGAAGUGUGACCCUAGACAACAGAUGUUAAAACCAAGCUCUGUGGCAGGUGGCUCCCCCUUGACCAGCCCCAGUUUCUCCCCUGGGCUUUGAUCCCCCGUCACUGACCUCACUGUUAACAACUUCAAUGGUAAAGCCAGUUCUUUGGAGCCAGAGGCAGAGGGGCUGGAAAUCCUGAAGUGGGCUCUACAUUCAUUUGAGACAAGACUUUAGUCCAUCCAGUGUCACUGGUCCAUCUAUCCAGAGGAAAGGAGCUUCUGACAGACUGAUUUUGUGCCAGAGCCUUAGCAUUACUGUGCCAAACAUGUAGCUGCCUUUCAGUCCCUUUCUUCAGAAAAGUAAAACUUUUCAGUAUUAGGGCUAGGCUUCCACACAGAUCCAACCCUCACAGGCGAACAAGUUGUCAGGUCAAAUCCUCGGAGAAGUAAGUCUGUUUUCAAAACACAUCCAUCCAAGAGCUGUAAGGGAAAUGUUCCUUCUCUGAGAUUCAGUCUGUUCUGAGAACUGGGCAGUGGGCAACCUCUGAACAAAGACCAUUCCUGCAUCUUUUAGGCUUCUGAGCAUCUCAUUCAUCUCCAGCCUCCUCAAAGUCAAGUACCUGGGAAUGAUGCUCCUUAUUGGAGUCAGUGAAUGGGAAGUGUCAUUCUCUCAGGAGAAUUUGGUUCCAUUAAAGGCUGCUGAAGAAAAUGUGAUGGACAUUUCCAGAAGGUAUGCAGGCCUGCCAUACUUCAAACUUAACAUUGUAUCCACUCCUGCAAAACAAAUCAGAGACUGUCACUCCCUCCCAUGUCAGAGGAACUUUUCUCCAAUUGAUGUCUGUACUUGUCUUACUUCAAGCUGUUCUAUAAUACUCCCAUCCUUUCCUGCAUGCAUUUAUUUAUUUAUUCAUUCAGCACACUCAUUUAUUUUAUAUAAAGAGACUAUAAUGUGCCGUGCGCUAGGCAAGCUAUUGAGGAUACAAAGAGUAAUCAGGAUAGAUAAAAUCUCUGCCGUCAUGAAGCUUAGCAGGGAGACGGACACGUUCUCAGAGUAGGAGGAUGGUGACUGUGUAAUUUGUAAUGGGAAUCACAGAGUGGUAUGGAUAUUUCCAGCAAGGAGUGGGAUGAGAUGGGGCAUCUAAAUAGACUGGGGGUCAGGGCAUGCCUUCUUAAGCAGGUGAAGUCUGACUCCAGACCUGAAGGAUGAGUAAUACUCGGCCAGGGGAAGAACAGAGUGUUCCCGGCUACGGCAGACGUGGUCUUUUGGCACUCAAUAUCACCUCCAACCUCCUUCCAGCGUGUGUAGACUGGAAAGCUAAAAAACACAUUCCCAGGUUUCCAUGUAGGACAGGUUCUGGACGUGAAUUCGCUCCAUCAGUCAGAGGCACUCGUUCAGGAUUCAGAAGACGGAAGUGAUCAAGUGGCUUCGCCUCCCUCCUUCUGUGACUUUUACUGGUGAAUAAACAGGAGAUCUGCCUUUCCUGAGGCACCUCUUGACCGUGGUGACUUCCUGGUCAUUUAGCUUCUAGAUUGUGGCUGUUUGCCAAUUUGAGUGGUUUCCGAAUCCUGGAAGACAGCAGCUGCAGGGGCAGCUUCCCAGUUUGGCUGCCAGCGCCCUGAUGGCAGAAGAGGCAAAAAUUCCUCCGGUGGCCAAGCCGCCGCGGCUCUCGAGGUUCUCUUUAGUCUUCUUUUCCAGGCCUGACACUGCUUCCAGAGCUGUGCAAUAUCCUUAAUAAGUCCCCUUCUGCUUAAGCUAACUGGAGCGAAUUCUGAUUCCUGCAGCUGAGCCCUAAACACCUCACAGACCAUAGGAACCACAUCCAUGAAUGUCUGCUAGGAGGAAAGCUGAUGGCAUUCUGAGGGUGGCCAGUGUGGCUGGGGUAAAGCCAUUCAAGGGCAGGAGGACUAGAGGGGCAAGAAAAUGCUAGAUCAUGGAAUGCCCUAUGAAUUAGGCUGAAAAUCUUUAUCGAAGGGCAACUGAAAUGUUUCAAGCAGUUUAACCCCCAGACCAGAUUUGUAGUUUUCAAAGACACUGCCUACUAAGUGGAGAACUGACUGAGGGCCAGGAGUGAACACAGCAACAAGGGUUGGAAUCCAUUGCGUCAGUCCUGGAUGUAAAAUAUACCUCACCUGUCAGUUCCAUGCUGAAAUACUGGCAGCUAAAAUAAGAGAUUCUUAAAUUUAUUUUUGUAAGAAUUAAAUCUUUCUUCCUCCCUUUUCUAUUUUAUUCCAAAUAGAGUGUAACCAUUAUUCUGACCAUCAGUGUACAAUAUUUCUUGGCUAUGUUGUUGUGUCUUUCAACUGAAGGUCACAGUCCUUGUCAUGAGACCGUCUUCACAUAGUUUGUUCUCUCUGCCUCCUUCCCUUCCCUCUCUCUUGCUCUCUCCAUGUACCCCUUUUACAGUAUCUGCUCCCUUUCCUGUCCCUUCAUCCACAGAGUGGUAAUGUCUCUGGAGCUGUGAUUAGCUCUGGGUCCCAUGCUACCCCUUGUUCCCUCCUAGUUUCCCUCCCAACAUCCUGCUGAAAUCUUUGUAAAUAGUCCUUUGAUUAAGCUCUCUUCAAGUUACCUAAUUUGAGUAUGCCAUCUGUUUCCUGCUGGGACCUGAAUGAAU
rnacentral:lncRNA from 1 species